rnacentral:rRNA from 1 species
AGACCCGAAACCCGGUGAUCUAGCCAUGGGCAGGUUGAAGGUUGGGUAACACUAACUGGAGGACCGAACCGACUAAUGUUGAAAAAUUAGCGGAUGACCUGUGGCUGGGGGUGAAAGGCCAAUCAAACCGGGAGAUAGCUGGUUCUCCCCGAAAGCUAUUUAGGUAGCGCCUCGUGAAUUCAUCUCCGGGGGUAGAGCACUGUUUCGGCUAGGGGGCCAUCCCGGCUUACCAACCCGAUGCAAACUGCGAAUACCGGAGAAUGUUAUCACGGGAGACACACGGCGGGUGCUAACGUCCGUCGUGAAGAGGGAAACAACCCAGACCGCCAGCUAAGGUCCCAAAGUCAUGGUUAAGUGGGAAACGAUGUGGGAAGGCCCAGACAGCCAGGAUGUUGGCUUAGAAGCAGCCAUCAUUUAAAGAAAGCGUAAUAGCUCACUGGUCGAGUCGGCCUGCGCGGAAGAUGUAACGGGGCUAAACCAUGCACCGAAGCUGCGGCAGCGACGCUGAUGCGUUGUUGGGUAGGGGAGCGUUCUGUAAGCCUGCGAAGGUGGCCUGUGAGGGUUGCUGGAGGUAUCAGAAGUGCGAAUGCUGACAUAAGUAACGAUAAAGCGGGUGAAAAGCCCGCUCGCCGGAA